rnacentral:rRNA from 1 species
GACGAACGCUGGCGGCGUGCUUAACACAUGCAAGUCGAACGGAAAGGCCCUGCUUUUGUGGGGUGCUCGAGUGGCGAACGGGUGAGUAGCACGUGAGUAACCUGCCCUUGACUUUGGGAUAACUUCAGGAAACUGGGGCUAAUACCGGAUAGGAGCUCCUGCUGCAUGGUGGGGGUUGGAAAGUUUCGGCGGUUGGGGAUGGACUCGCGGCUUAUCAGCUUGUUGGUGGGGUAGUGGCUUACCAAGGCUUUGACGGGUAGCCGGCCUGAGAGGGUGACCGGCCACAUUGGGACUGAGAUACGGCCCAGACUCCUACGGGAGGCAGCAGUGGGGAAUAUUGCACAAUGGGCGGAAGCCUGAUGCAGCAACGCCGCGUGUGGGAUGACGGCCUUCGGGUUGUAAACCGCUUUCGCCUGUGACGAAGCGUGAGUGACGGUAAUGGGUAAAGAAGCACCGGCUAACUACGUG